UACGGAGGAUGCAAGCGUUAUCCGGAAUUAUUGGGCGUAAAGCGUCCGCAGGUGGCACUUCAAGUCUGCUGUCAAAGACCGGGGCUUAACCCUGGAAAGGCAGUGGAAACUGAAGCGCUAGAGUGUGGCAGGGGUAGAGGGAAUUCCCGGUGUAGCGGUGAAAUGCGUAGAGAUCGGGAAGAACAUCGGUGGCGAAAGCGCUCUACUGGGCCAUAACCGACACUCAGGGACGAAAGCUAGGGGAGCGAAUGGG
rnacentral:rRNA from 1 species